rnacentral:rRNA from 1 species
UACGUAGGGUGCAAGCGUUGUCCGGAAUUAUUGGGCGUAAAGAGCUCGUAGGCGGUCUGUCGCGUCUGCUGUGAAAACUCAGGGCUUAACCCUGAGCUUGCAGUGGGUACGGGCAGACUAGAGUGCGGUAGGGGAGACUGGAAUUCCUGGUGUAGCGGUGAAAUGCGCAGAUAUCAGGAGGAACACCGGUGGCGAAGGCGGGUCUCUGGGCCGAGUACUGACGCUGGAGGAGCGAAAGCCGUGGGGAGCGAACAGG